CCUCUAAACUCUGAGUCGGUGUCAUUGGAGACAGCCUUGUAACAAACAACUUGGAUCUCCAGUAAAAUCACGACUUUUAGAGAUUUUUUUAAAACAAGCUGAAACAAGUAGUGAAUAUCUUAUAUGCAAUUGAGCCGAAGCUGUCGGAGCAGGUUAGGCUGUCUGACCAGUGCUGGUGGGAACUCCAGGAGCUGUAAGUUUGCACUCUAUGCUUCAGUGAAACAUCUAGAAGGACACUAACAGAACCUCAAACCUUCAGAGGGGAAGGGGGAAGAAGAACUGUCUGACCAGAGAUCUGCUAAGAAUAAUGGCAGAAAGCUCCAGAAGGAAUCACUGUGAAGACCAAAUGCUUCCUGAGAUAGGUACUGUUCUGGUGCCUACAUACACACCAGGAAGACUGGAAAACUGCCCCAAAGAGCUAAAUGUCUGGUCAACAUCAAAGACAGCAGAGAGGUGUCUGGCUGUGCUUUAUGUUGCCUCCAGGAAUGAGUCACUAAUAGCUGCUAUUCAGGAAAAAAGUGAGAACUCUCAGUCCAUAAUUCACCCUCACAAUACAAGUAAUUGA
rnacentral:lncRNA from 1 species